GUGAGCAUGGCCGAGUGGUCUAAGGCGGUAGAUUUAAGCUCUACUGACGAAAGUCGCCUGGGUUCGACCCCCAGUGCUCACA
rnacentral:tRNA from 1 species